rnacentral:rRNA from 1 species
AUUGAACGCUGGCGGCAGGCCUAACACAUGCAAGUCGAGCGAGCGGCGGACGGGUGAGUAAUGUAUGGGGACUGCCCGAUAGAGGGGGAUAACUACUGGAAACGGUAGCUAAUACCGCAUACUAUCGGAUAACCCAUAUGGGAUUAGCUAGUAGGUGAGGUAAUGGCUCACCUAGGCGACGAUCCCUAGCUGGUCUGAGAGGAUGAUCAGCCACACGUGGACUGAGACACGGCCCCUAUUCCUACGGAGGCAGCAGUGGGGAAUAUUGCACCAUGGGCGCAAGCCUUAUGCAGCCAUGCCGCGUGAAUGAAGAAUGCCCUAGGGUGGUAAAGUACUUUCAGUCGGGAGGCGUUACCGACAGAAGAAGCACCGGCUAACUCCGUGCCAGCCGCCGCGGUAAUUC